GUGGCAAGCGUUGUCCGGAUUUAUUGCGACGUAAAGUGAGCGCAGGCCGUUUCCUUAAGUCUGAUGUGAAAGCCUUCGGCUCAACCGAAGAAGUGCAUCGGAAACUGGGAACUUGAGUGCAGAAGAGGACAGUGGAACUCCAUGUGUAGCGGUGAAAUGCGUAGAUAUAUGGAAGAACACCAGUGGCGAAGGCGGCUGUCUGGUCUGUAACUGACGCUGAGGCUCGAAAGCAUGUGUAGCAAACAGGAUUAGAUACCCUGGUAGUCCAUGCCGUAAACGAUGAGUGCUAGGUGUUGGAGGGUUUCCGCCCUUCAGUGCCGCAGCUAACGCAUUAAGCACUCCGCCUGGGGAGUACGACCGCAAGGUUGAAACUCAAAGGAAUUGACGGGGGCCCGCACAAGCGGUGGAGCAUGUGGUUUAAUUCGAAGCAACGCGAAGAACCUUACCAGGUCUUGACAUCCUUUGACCACUCUAGAGAUAGAGCUUUCCCUUCGGGGACAAAGUGACAGGUGGUGCAUGGUUGUCGUCAGCUCGUGUCGUGAGAUGUUGGGUUAAGUCCCGCAACGAGCGCAACCCUUAUUACUAGUUGCCAGCAUUUAGUUGGGCACUCUAGUGAGACUGCCGGUGACAAACCGGAGGAAGGUGGGGACGACGUCAAAUCAUCAUGCCCCUUAUGACCUGGGCUACACACGUGCUACAAUGGAUGGUACAACGAGUUGCGAGACCGCGAGGUUUAGCUAAUCUCUUAAAACCAUUCUCAGUUCGGAUUGUAGGCUGCAACUCGCCUACAUGAAGCCGGAAUCGCUAGUAAUCGCGGAUCAGCAUGCCGCGGUGAAUACGUUCCCGGGCCUUGUACACACCGCCCGUCACACCAUGAGAGUUUGUAACACCCAAAGCCGGUGAGGUAACCCUUCGGGGAGCCAGCCGUCUAAGG
rnacentral:rRNA from 1 species